AUUUAAAUAGCUUAUAUAUGUAGAGUAUAGUAUUGAAGAUACUAAGGAAAUUAUUAAAAUUUUUAAAUA
rnacentral:tRNA from 1 species